rnacentral:rRNA from 1 species
GACGAACGCUGGCGGCGUGCUUAACACAUGCAAGUCGAACGGAAAGGCCCCCACCUUGGUGGGGGUGCUCGAGUGGCGCACGGGUGAGUAACACGUGGGUGAUCUGCCCUGUACUUCGGGAUAAGCUUGGGAAACUGGGUCUAAUACCGGAUAGGACCAUGGUUUAGUGUCUCAUGGUGGAAAAAUUAUUGUUUUGGUGCAGGAUGAGCGCGCGGCCUAUCAGCUUGUUGGUGGGGUAAUGGCCUACCAAGGCGCCGACGGGUAGCCGGCCUGAGAGGGUGGACGGCCACAUUGGGACUGAGAUACGGCCCAGACUCCGACGGGAGGCAGCAGUGGGGAAUAUUGCACAAUGGGCGCAAGCCUGAUGCAGCGACGCCGCGUGGGGGAUGACGGCCGUCGGGUUGUAAACUCCUUUCGUUAGGGACGAAGCCACACCUUUUUUGGGUGUGGUGACGGUACCUUUGUUAAGAAGCACCGGCUAACUACGUG